AUGUUAAUGAUGAAUACAUUUGAUGAUAAUGAUUCUAAAUUCUCUUUACACUAAGUGUAAAUAAAAGCACAGAUUCCUGUAGUAUAUACUGAUUUGAUGCAUGAACAUAAAAAAAAAAGAAAGAAAGUUCAAUAUUUCUGAGAAGCCAUGAAAAUUACUGUUAAAAUGUGACUCAUCGUGGUCAUUUUCAGCAUAGCAUAAUAAUUUGGCACAGCAGUAAUUUAAGGAAACCUCUAGGAUGCUUGAAUCAUGUACAAAAAUAGUGAAAUGACGUUCAUUAACAGCUGGCUUAGGGUCAAAAUCAGAUCUGAAUAGUCUUAAAAUGUGGGCUGAAAACAGGACAAAGCUGAUCGUGUUUGUUCAGGAAAAUGAGCUAUUAUGACUAAAAGAGCCAUUUUCUUUCCUGUUAAAUGCAGCGCCCCCAAAAAAGUGUUUAGACAUUUAAGUCUGAAUGUUAUUGCAUUUGAUAAUAAAUUAAGAAACCAAGUAUUAUUUUCGAAAGACAGACAAGCAAAAUAUGUGUUUUUAGUGUACAAAAGCAUCCAAAUUUAUGUUUAUUAUCAUAAUUGUAACCUGCUGUAUUUUAUCUUCAUCUUACAGCGGCUAUAUUUUUCAUCUUCAUUUUAAACGUUUAAUGUUUCUUCACAAUUAAGCUGAAAUGUUUGUGCUUUACAUUUUGUCCAUUUAAUGUGUUGACAACCUUUUGCCAAUCCAUAAAGUUGCAUCUUAUAUGCAAGCUGAUGUUUCAGCAGAAAUAAAAUGUUGCUGCAUUUAAAUAGACCGAAGUGUCAAGUGUGAACUGUCUGGUUUAAUCUGCGGAUGUCUUGACACAAAGAUGGGUUAAAGGGUAUUUUAUGAGAAAGGCACACACUGUUUUAUACUCCUUUCGACUGAUUUGUUGAAAUCAGAUGAUUGUGAGUAAUCCACCCUUUUACCAGAAGGGUUUAAAGAGUUUGUGUUCCCAUGCAUGUUUGAGUGUGUUCUGAUGUACCAUCAGUUCAAUCAUCUAACCAAGUCUGACUGUGCAUGACAAGAACAUCCAACUAAAAAUAUCAACCGCCACCAGUAAAGCUGGUCUGAAGAUGAAUGAUCUGUGAACUUCUGAGACUUUCAAUAAGCUCAUGAUCAUGAUGUGGUGUCUCAUGAUUCUUGUGCUUCUGCAGAACUGCACAAGAGAUUCAGAUCACUUACUGUAUCAGUUGGAUCAUGCAAAAGGUAGAGAUGAGCUGUUAGACACCAACACUCAUAAAAGGGGAAGCCCCCUAGCAAAAACAAGACUCAUCAUCUGACAUACAUGACAGAAAUGGAAGUUUUCGGCUCAAAAACACCCACCCAUGAGAGGCCCAGGUCAAAAUUAGCACUCAUUUCUGAUAGACUGGAAGUGAACCUUUUUACAGGGGUGUAAAUGUGUUUUCUGUCUUAAUCUGUCUACUUCACUCAUGCAAGACAAGUGUCAGUAUUAUUAUAUUAGUCAUGCUUAAGUUUGCUGGUUUGAGCAAAUCCUAAUUAAUCAAAUUUGGCAAUAAAACAGCCCAAAAAAUACAACAGACUUGCGCCAAAGGGAGGGAAAUGUAGUGCCAUACAGUGUAACCAUGCACUAAAAGUAUCUAAGAACUCCUUAGCAACUGCAUGGCAACGGCCUGGCAUCAUGACUGAGUUUUGCUCUGGCGAACGUUAAAGAAAUUGCUCUUUACUAUUAUGUGUUACUAUUGCAGCACAUUAAUUAUGUGAGUUUUGCGUAAAACUGUCUAUGUGUAUUGCAACGGCGUGACUGAUGUAAAUGGUUUAUGUACUUCGGAACCAUAACUUUAUGAUCGCAAAGUAAAUCCGCUAUGAUAGAAUGUUUAGGAGAUGUUACUUUUUCAUCCAAGCUGCCUUUUUUGGUCACCAAGAUUUCUCAGAGCUUUUCUCAAGGCUUCCAUCUUUAGGCUUGUUGGUUAAUCACAGACCACACAUGCUGGAGAACGCUGAAAUUACACCAAAAACAAGGGUAGAGUGUCUUGUGUAAGCAGUUUUUCCUUGAGGUAAUUAAAAAUUUCACAUAAGGACUCAAUUAUAUAGCCAAGGAGUUUUCCUAAUGAGAGGUAUGGGAAUGCAUAGUUACAGCUAAAUAGAAAAUGCAAAGCAUGCAUUUAUUGGUGCAUUUAUUGUGUUUUCUGUUUUUGAGCUCCUGACAGUGACAGCUCCUGCUCACCAUCCAGUUUCACAGUAUGGAGAACCUCUGAGAUUCUGCUAAACGUCUGUUUUUGUGUCCUGCAGAAGAAAUAGUCAUACAGCUUGAGGGACGUUCCUGAGAUGACAGACAUGCACACCUACAGGAGUUCAGGGGUGAAGCCCCCCCAUGGCGACGGAAACGGCCCGAGGAAAGGCCUCAUGCUGAAGGGAGAGGGGCCCGGCAGCUCCCUCAAACAAUGGAAGUUCUUGGAAGAUUUUAGGAAGGUCCUGUGAUUUACUAUUCAUCCUUUUCUUGAAUGCCACUUCACUCCCUGUUCACUCUGAAACAUGGAGCAGUUUCUCAAAAAGUGUGUUUCUUUGCGUGCACGUGAGACUGAUACCCGUGUGACCCAACCGGUUGAGCGGCUUUUUGGCGCCCUCAGAAAAUAAAAAGAAAUAUAUUGUGCAAAGCAGCUAACGUGUCAACACAAGCUUUUAUCAUUCCUUUGUCUGUUUAAAAGCUUUUAUGUGGAAUAAUCUUUCCGACACAAUUUGACAUACUUGAAAUAAUCCACAUAAAUUCCAUUAUUGUUUAAAGACACCCUUGCUUCUACGCUUAAUUACCCCGGCGCUUCUCUCACUGUGACUGAACUCUCAUUAUGCUCUGAGGGCAUGAAGAAAAGGAGGUUUAACAUCCACAAAAGAAAGAACCUUCUUAUACCCUGGAAAAUGGAUACACUGUGACCUUUAACCUUUGGGGGAUUAGGCUUCAUUAGGGGGUGACCCUAAAACCUCUGUUCACCCGUAUGCUCAUCUCUCUGGGAUUAGAAAUCUUCAACCAAUAGGUCCAUGGCAUUUAAAGGCAGGUUAUCAACGUGUAGUGUGUGUUGCUAGUUUGAUUGUAAAGAAAGUCACAAAUAAAUUUUACUUCACCAUAAACAUUACCAUCUCUUGUUAAGGGAGAAGUGAUCAGUCAGCAGAGCAGGCGUAUGAGUGUUUACUUAAUACUUUGUUCUUGCAUCUGUUGAUUAAAUUGUUACUUGCUGCUAAGAAGGUUUUUUUUUAUUCUCUGGCUAUUUCUACUGCUAUUUUUUAUUGUAAUUUGUAUUUUUGAUUGCACUUUAUUUGUAAUUAGAGUAAUAGCUGUCGGCUAAGAAACAGCUUUUGUUAUUUAUAUUGCUCUGUUUCUGCACUUAAGUGCAAACUUUAGUUUCGAAUUGAGCGAUUUGGGUGUGCUAAUUUAACAAGGCGGCCAAAGCUGUUUUCUCUGAAGUGUCGGGUGGCUGUGUAUUUGGUUGUUGUCUGUCAGCUGAGGUGGAAGCUGGAUGGUCUGCUGUCCUCAUUCCUGGAGGAUAGCAGUCCAAUUAGUCUUUGGCAACUUUAACAUUCAUACACUCGGCAUGGAUGAAAGAACAUUACCUACACCUCAACCUGGCAAAGACUGAGCUUCUUGUCUUCCUGGACACUCCAAAUCUACAGCAUGACUUCACCGUCCAGUUAUGUUCAUCAACAAUUACCCCAUCAAGUUCGGUCAGAAAUCUUGGUGUAAUCUUUGAUGAUGACCAGCUGACUUUCAAAGACCACAUUUAAAAAACUGCUAGAUCUUAAGGGUUUGCAUUGCACAACAUCCAAAAUAUCAGGCCCUUCCUAACGGAG
ensembl:lncRNA